GCUGGGUGAUGCGGUCAACCAUCCGACUCCCAUGGCAGCUGCAGCAAAUGAGGUGUACAAAAGAGCCAAGGCGCUGGACCAGUCUGACAACGAUAUGUCCGCCGUGUACCGAGCCUACAUACACUAAGCUGUCGACACCCCGCCCUCACCCCUCCAAUCCCCCCUCUGACCCCCUCUUCCUCACAUGGGGUCGGGGGCCUGGGAGUUCAUUCUGGACCAGCCCACCUAUCUCCAUUUCCUUUUAUACAGACUUUGAGACUUGCCAUCAGCACAGCACACAGCAGCACCCUUCCCCUGAGGCCGGUGGGGAGGGGACAAGUGUCAGCAGGAUUGGCGUGUGGGAAAGCUCUUGAGCUGGGCACUGGCCCCCCGGACGAGGUGGCUGUGUGUUCACACACACACACACACACACACACACACACACACACAGGCUCUCGCCCCAGGAUAGAAGCUGCCCAGAAACUGCUGCCUGGCUUUUUUUCUUCCGAGCUUGUCUUAUCUCAAACCCCUUCCAGUCAAGGAACUAGAAUCAGCAACGAGAGUUGGAAGCCUUCCCACAGCUUCCCCCAGAGCGAAGAGGCUGUAGUCAUGUCCCCAUCCCCCACUGGAUUCCCUACAAGGAGAGGCCUUGGGCCCAGAUGAGCCAGUACAGACUCCAGACAGAGGGGCCCUUGGGGCCCUCCAACCUCAGGUGAUGAGCUGAGAAAGAUGUUCACGUCUAAGCGUCCAGUGUGCACCCAGCGCUCCAUAGACGCCUUUGUGAACUGAAAAGAGACUGGCAGAGUCCCGAGAAGAUGGGGCCCUGGCUUUCCAGGGAGUGCAGCAAGCAGCCGGCCUGCAGACCCAGCCUGACCAACGAUGAGCAUUUCUUAGGCUCAGCUCUUGAUACGGAAACGAGUGUCUUCACUCCAGCCAGCAUCAUGGUCUUCGGUGCUUCCCGGGCCCGGGGUCUGUCGGGAGGGAAGAGAACUGGGCCUGACCUACCUGAACUGACUGGCCCUCCGAGGUGGGUCUGGGACAUCCUAGAGGCCCUACAUUUGUCCUUGGAUAGGGGACCGGGGGGGGCUUGGAAUGUUGC
rnacentral:lncRNA from 1 species